rnacentral:rRNA from 1 species
AUUGAACGCUGGCGGCAUGCUUUACACAUGCAAGUCGAACGGUAACAGGGUGCCUGCACCGCUGACGAGUGGCGAACGGGUGAGUAAUGCGUCGGAACGUGCCGAGUAGUGGGGGAUAACGCCGCGAAAGUUGUGCUAAUACCGCAUACGUACUGAGGUAGAAAGUGGGGGACCUUCGGGCCUCACGCUAUUCGAGCGGCCGACGUCUGAUUAGCUAGUAGGCGAGGUAAAGGCUCACCUAGGCGACGAUCAGUAGCGGGUCUGAGAGGAUGAUCCGCCACACUGGGACUGAGACACGGCCCAGACUCCUACGGGAGGCAGCAGUGGGGAAUUUUGGACAAUGGGCGCAAGCCUGAUCCAGCCAUGCCGCGUGCAGGAUGAGGGCCUUCGGGUUGUAAACUGCUUUUGUACGGAACGAAAAGACUCUAGUUAAUACCUGGGGUCCAUGACGGUACCGUAAGAAUAAGCACCGGCUAACUUCGUGCCAGCCGCCGCUGUAAGAC